AACGAACGCUGGCGGCGUGCCUAACACAUGCAAGUCGAACGAGAAUCCGGGCUUCGGUCCGGUAGUAAAGUGGCGCACGGGUGAGUAACACGUGGGUAACGUGCCUUAUAGUGGGGGAUAACCAGGUGAAAGCUUGGCUAAUACCGCACGAGUCCGUCGGGACGCCGGUCCUGACGGGGAAAGUGGAGCAAUCCACGCUAUGAGAUCGGCCCGCGGCCCAUUAGCUAGUUGGCGGGGUAAACGGCCCACCAAGGCGACGAUGGGUAGCUGGUCUGAGAGGAUGAUCAGCCACACUGGAACUGAGACACGGUCCAGACUCCUACGGGAGGCAGCAGUGGGGAAGUUUUGCGCAAUGGGCGAAAGCCUGACGCAGCAACGCCGCGUGUGUGACGAAGGCCCUAGGGUUGUAAAGCACUGU
rnacentral:rRNA from 1 species